rnacentral:misc_RNA from 1 species
AAAAAUUAUUUCUUUCAAUUCCACGAUUUCAGUUGUGGAAUUCAACAUGACUAAAUCAAUUUCUAUCAAAAUAGGUGGAAUUUCCAAAUGAAUUCUACAAAAUUAAAACCAAAAUUUUUAGUCCAAAAUGCCACACCAUCUCAUCUGUCUGUGUGUGCGCGUCUCUCUCACCCUCCUUCUCUUCCUCUUAUUUCUCUUCCCUAUUUAGUUUUGUCAAAUUUUUUCCUGUAAAGUUUUGGCUCUUUUGUUUGCUAUACUUUGAAGAUGGACACGUAAUAACAGUGACUUGCACUUCAUUUAUUUUUUGAUGUCUUAGAAAUGCAUCUUUUUUCUAAAUAAACUCAUUAUGUUAAGG